AGUAGCCGCGGUAAUACAGAGGGUGCAAGCGUUAAUCGGAAUUACUGGGCGUAAAGCGCGCGUAGGUGGUUUGUUAAGUUGGAUGUGAAAUCCCCGGGCUCAACCUGGGAACUGCAUCCAAAACUGGCAAGCUAGAGUAUGGUAGAGGGUGGUGGAAUUUCCUGUGUAGCGGUGAAAUGCGUAGAUAUAGGAAGGAACACCAGUGGCGAAGGCGACCACCUGGACUGAUACUGACACUGAGGUGCGAAAGCGUGGGGAGCAAACAGGAUUAGAUACCCCAGUAGUCCCUGUCUCUUAUACC
rnacentral:rRNA from 1 species